CCUCGGCCACCGUGGUGUUUAAGGUUGGUGACGGGUUUCCGCGUGCCUGCAGUCGGUAAUUAUAUACUUCUUGGGCUUCGAUCGCAGUGGGACACUACUUGGUGCCUGUUGGGGAGGAUUUCGGACGCCGUCUUUUCAGCGGAUCACACCGGGUUUAGUUGGUUUUACUCACUAUUGGUUUCCCUGCUCCAAUCCUCGGAUCUACCAACGUGAGCCGUGCCAGCAAUAGCGACUGUAGGACCGUUCCCGACUUUCCGUGCAGCUACACCGUCACCUGGAGUCGCAGCAGCUCCGUAUCAAUCACGCGCAAACUAAAC